rnacentral:rRNA from 1 species
GACGAACGCUGGCGGCGUGCUUAACACAUGCAAGUCGAACGGAAAGGCCCUGCUUUUGUGGGGUGCUCGAGUGGCGAACGGGUGAGUAACACGUGAGUAACCUGCCCUUGCCUUUGGGAUAACUUCAGGAAACCGGGGCUAAUACCGGAUAGGAGCUCCUGCUGCAUGGUGGGGGUGGGAAAGUUUCGGCGGUUGGGGAUGGACUCGCGGCUUAUCAGCUUGUUGGUGGGGUAGUGGCUUACCAAGGCUUUGACGGGUAGCCGGCCUGAGAGGGUGACCGGCCACAUGGGGACUGAGAUACGGCCCAGACUCCUACGGGAGGCAGCAGUGGGGAAUAUUGCACAAUGGGCGGAAGCCGGAUGCAGCAACGCCGCGUGCGGGAUGACGGCCUUCGGGUUGUAGACCGCUUUCGCCUGUGACGGAGCGUGAGUGACGGUAAUGGGUAAAGAAGCACCGGCUAACUACGUG